CUACUUCUGGUAUGAUGAAUGUAUAUGUUUACAUAACAUUACUAAUACAACUUAAAUUGCUAAGUAAGGGACGUUUUAGCCUAAUUUAAACCGUUUGGGGAGAUGGCGUCGUUGGCAGCAAUAGAGCCAGGGCUAAGCCCGGGGACAUUACCGAAAGAGGAAUCCGUAGUACCAGUUUCUAUAUUCGCACCGGACUGUGGGGAUGACCUUUCAGGGGGAGAGUGCUUCGAAGACGGAGAGAAUGUUAACGGCGAGUCCGAGGAUCAUUUAGACUUUACUAGCAAGCUGACUCUGGUCAGCCCCACAGGAGAACAGUAUGACUCGUUACUACGGCAACUCCGAGAGAGGAUGGAUGAAGGAUGUGGGGAGACCAUUUAUGUUGUGGGAGUGGGCUCAGGUGAGAAGGGACAACCUACUUUUCUACCUUAUUGUCGGUCCAUAUACCUAAACCACACAACAGAACACAUGGUGCUCAUGUGUAAACAUCUCCAAUAAMAACCCAGAUCUACGGUGACCCCCUUACAGAACACAGACCUGAUAUCCCAGAUCAGUUGUGCUUUUUGUCAGUUGUUUAAACACUAACAGAUCUGGGACCAGUCAGGCUAGUGUCAACCCCCAAAGUUGGGCACAGUGUGCAGGUUGACUAGGCUACUCGU